UACGUAGGGUGCAAGCGUUGUCCGGAAUCACUGGGCGUAAAGCGCACGUAGGCGGAUCUUUAAGUCAGGGGUGAAAUCCUGGAGCUCAACUCCAGAACUGCCUUUGAUACUGGGGAUCUCGAGUCCGGAAGAGGUGAGUGGAACUCCGAGUGUAGAGGUGAAAUUCGUAGAUAUUCGGAAGAACACCAGUGGCGAAGGCGGCUCACUGGUCCGGUACUGACGCUGAGGUGCGAAAGCGUGGGGGAGCAAACAGG
rnacentral:rRNA from 1 species